GACGAACGCUGGCGGCGUGCUUAACACAUGCAAGUCGAGCGGUAAGGCCCUUUCGGGGGUACACGAGCGGCGAACGGGUGAGUAACACGUGGGUGACCUGCCCUUAGCUCUGGGAUAAGCCUGGGAAACUGGGUCUAAUACCGGAUAUGACUCCAUGACGCAUGUUGUGGGGUGGAAAGCCUUGUGCGGCUAGGGAUGGGCCCGCGGCCUAUCAGCUUGUUGGUGGGGUGAUGGCCACCAAGGCGACGACGGGUAGCCGGCCUGAGAGGCGACCGGCCACACUGGGACUGAGACACGGCCCAGACUCCUACGGGAGGCAGCAGUGGGGAAUCUUGCGCAAUGGGCGAAAGCCUGACGCAGCGACGCCGCGUGAGGGAUGACGGCC
rnacentral:rRNA from 1 species